rnacentral:misc_RNA from 1 species
UCGAAAAUUAAAGAACAUAAGGAAAAUUAGAAGAAGGGUUAUAAAAGUAUUUGGGUUGCCUCUCAUAGAGUGCUUGUUUAUAGUUAUUAGCUGGACUAUUCUUCAACUUCAUUGUUAAGGUGGAGGGGUGCUGUAGGAUUGGGUGAAUCCAUCUUUAAUUUUAUCCCCUGGGAAGUAUGACUUCAAUCUCUGCCCAUUAACCGUGAAGGCACCUGAGGUUUCACUCCAUACUUCUAUCGCUCCAUGCGGG